rnacentral:lncRNA from 1 species
AAAAGUCUCAGCAGUCGGCAGAGCCCCAGAAAGAGAAGGCACCGGAAGGUGAUUAUUUGGAGCCUCAGUACUAGGCAGAACCCUAGAAGGAGGAGGCACCGAAGGUUGAUAAUUUGGAGCUUCAUUAUGCGGUACAGCCCCAGAAGACGAAGGCAAUAAAUGCCUUUGGAACAAAUCCACAAACCUCUGAUGAUCAAGUAAAAUUUGACCAUCAGAUUCCUGCAGCUGGUCGAGCUUCCUCUUCAUGUUUGUAGCAUAGUCAUGUGCGAGCCUGUGCAACUGUUUAUUCUCAUGCUUGAACCUUCUAAUCUCCUGUUUAAGACUUAUCACUUCAGCCGCCAAUGAUUCAACUUGGU